GCUUGCUUCAGCAACACAUAUACUAAAAUUGGAAUGAUUCACAGAAAGUUAGCAUGGCCCCUGUGGAAGAAUGACAUGACAAUUUGUGAAGUGUUCCAUAUAUUU